UACAGAGGUCUCAACCGUUGUUCGGAUUCAUUGGGCGUAAAGGGUACGUAGGCGGUCGUGCAAGUCGGAUGUGAAAUCUCAGGGCUCAACCCUGAAACUGCAUUCGAUACUGCGUGGCUAGAGUGCUGGAGAGGAGACUGGAAUUUACGGUGUAGCAGUGAAAUGCGUAGAUAUCGUAAGGAAGACCAGUGGCGAAGGCGAGUCUCUGGACAGCAACUGACGCUGAGGCACGAAGGCCAGGGGAGCAAACGGG
rnacentral:rRNA from 1 species